UACGAAGGGGGCUAGCGUUGCUCGGAAUUAUUGGGCGUAAAGCGUCCGUAGGUGGCUAGUCAAGUCUGCGGUCAAAGACUGGGGCUUAACCCUGGAAAAGGCCGUGGAAACUGACGAGCUAGAGUGCAGUAGGGGUAGAGGGAAUUCCCGGUGUAGCGGUGAAAUGCGUAGAGCUCGGGAAGAACAUCGGUGGCGAAAGCGCUCUACUGGACUGCAACUGACACUCAGGGACGAAAGCUAGGGGAGCGAAUGGG
rnacentral:rRNA from 1 species